AACGAACGCUGGCGGCAGGCCUAACACAUGCAAGUCGAGCGGAUCCUUCGGGAUUAGCGGCGGACGGGUGAGUAACGCGUGGGAAUAUGCCCUUCUCUACGGAAUAGCCUCGGGAAACUGGGAGUAAUACCGUAUACGCCCUACGGGGGAAAGAUUUAUCGGAGAAGGAUUAGCCCGCGUUGGAUUAGGUAGUUGGUGGGGUAAUGGCCUACCAAGCCUACGAUCCAUAGCUGGUUUGAGAGGAUGAUCAGCCACACUGGGACUGAGACACGGCCCAGACUCCUACGGGAGGCAGCAGUGGGGAAUCUUAGACAAUGGGGGAAACCCUGAUCUAGCCAUGCCGCGUGAGUGAUGAAGGCCUUAGGGUUGUAAAGCUCUUUCAGCUGGGAAGAUAAUGACGGUACCAGCAGAAGAAGCCCCGGCUAACUCCGUGCCAGCCGCCGCAGUAAAAC
rnacentral:rRNA from 1 species